GACGAACGCUGGCGGCGUGCUUAACACAUGCAAGUCGAACGAAGUGGCGAACGGGUGAGUAACGAGUAAUCAACCUGCCCUUCAGAGGGGGACAACAGUUGGAAACGACUGCUAAUCCCGCAUACUGAAGGAGGGGAUUGAGUCGGAUUAGCUAGUUGGAGGGGAAACGGCCCAACAAGGCGAUGAUCAGUAGACGGUCUGAGAGGGUGGACGGCCACAUUGGGACUGGGCCACGGCCCCGACUCCUUAGGGAGGCAGCAGUUGGGAAUCUUCCGCAAUGGACGAAAGUCUGACGGAGCAACGCCGCGUGAUAGAUGACAGCCUUCGGGUUGUAAAGCUCCGUUAAUCGGGACGCGGUACCGGAAUAGAAAGCCACGGCUAACUACGUGCCAGCAGCCGCGGUAAUUC
rnacentral:rRNA from 1 species